CACAUACAUUCAAAACAUCAUGAAGUCACAUCUUCAACUACGAAAACAUAAGAAAAGGAUAGAGUUGAGAAAGGGACCUCCAAAGAUUCAGAUUCUGAUCGAUAAUAACGAAUGAGAGAAGCCAAAGCCCGAAUUCUCGAAUGAAAAAUAAACCUCAACAACGGCUGAACCAACUCAGAGCUAAAUAGACCGAAUUCGCAGUCCCAUUCAAAUACCAAAUCCACAAAACCACUUGAGAGUAUUCAACACCAACACUGAACAAACCGAAACUAAACAAAACUUACUAACCCAAAUAGACCAAAGGUGACCUCGAACAAACUGAAACCGAACUCAAAACGGCCGGAAUCAACCCGAAACAGGUCGAUUUCGAGCUGUUUUUAACGAUUCGAUCUUGGUUUUCAGUGAUGGAGAUGGUUUGGAUGAGUUUUCGAUGGGUUUCGAAGUUAAAUCGGAACUAGUGCAGUUAUUUUCGGUGAAGAGUGGCUGGAAAACUCGAUCUCCGGCCAAGUUCUUCCCUCUCGUCUCUCUCUGUUCUCUCCCUCUCUCUCGAUCUACCCUAUUUCUGGCAUGUGUUUAUGGACUUCCCCAAAUCCCUGUGCAGUUGCUAUAUCCAAUAAAAGGAGAUUGUAGUGCAUUUUUUUUCGACCCGAUUCCUAUGUGUGCGCGUGUUCGAAGAUAAAAAAGAAAGGAUGAAUAUGUUGAAUGAAGAAAACUCCCUUUUUCUUUGAUCUGUAUAUGUCGUGUAUAUAUGCCCCUUUGCCAAAUGGAAAAAUGGUCCUUUUUGUCCCUUUCCUGGAAGUUUCCUAGUGGGGCCCCUUUUUAAUGAUUUUCUCUUAUAAAGUUCACUCACCAUCAUGAUAGAAGCGGAAGACAAUUGCGGUCCCGGUAUAACCUACCAUUCAAGGAUAUGAUUCACUGGCACUGUACCAAAAAUUUGAUAGACAAAUGUCUCCUCUACGUUAUUUGCUUCAAUAAGAGACAAGGGAGAAUCUUCGCAGGCGGACAAAUCUCCUUCACCGUGAAUAACCACUUUUUGCCUGUCAUGCUCAAACUUAAUCAUUUGGUGUAGUGUAGAUACACCCGCCUUGGCCUUGUGGAUCCACGGCCUUCCCAACAACAGAUUGUAAGAGGAUUCUAUAUUCAAUACUUGGAAACUCUAUGGCGAACUCAACAGGCCCUAUGAUUAACAUUAGUUCUAUUUUACCAAUGGAGUUUGAUUUUGCACCAUCGAAAGCCCUGGCACAUACAUUGUUGGGCCGAUCCUCUCAGCACCAAUAUUCAACUUUUGCAAAGUAGAAAUAGGGCAGAUAUUUGCACCUGAACCUCGGUCAAUCAUAACAUGAGUAACGUAGAAAUCUUCUCACUUUACUGUAAUGUAAAGGCCCCGGUUAUGCCCUGUACCUUCAACAGGCAAUUCAUCGUCAGAAAAGCUGAUUCGAUUGACCUCAAAGAUUUUUCCAACCAUUUUCUCAAGCUGUUUUAUUGUAAUCUCCCUUGCUUCAGUUAAUACCUUCAGUAAAAUAUUACGAUGCUCCUUGAAGUGCAACAACAAAGAUAAGAGGGAAAUUUGAGCAGGGGUUUUCUUCAACUGGUCUAUUAUUGAAUACUCUAGCAAUUUCAUCUUUUUCAAAAAAUCUUUGGCUUCUUCUUCAGUGAUAGGCUUUUUGAUAGAUGACGGUCCACUUACAAAUGGUUUGGACUUUCUUAAACUUUCAGGCAUGAAGCAUUUUCAUGACAGAGUCAAACCCCCUACCCCAUCUACAUCUUCUACUACUUCUUUCCCAUUAUAGGUUAUCACAGUCCACCCAUAAUUUCAGGGAACCUUUUUCGUAUCAACUAUCGGAGGUUGGGUCAUCGGUUUGAGGACAAUAGGUGCUGCUAGUGCUCCUUUCAACGUCAAGAUGGGCUUACUCGAAGCUCCUACCACUGUCAACUUAGGUUUAUCCUGAAUUAAAUCAACAUACCUUCUGGCACCUUGCACCGUGAUCAGGGGUUUCUUUGUGCUUUCUUGGGCUUUUUCUUCUCUCAUUCCUUCCCGGAUCAAUGACAUUGCUUUCAAAGACUCUGCUACAUUCACCGAUUUCUUCUCAAUGGUCUAUAUCUUGACGAUAGGCUUAUAACACCUUGACUACUCUUUCCUGUCAUAUAUCAAUUCUAACAUAUUGGUUUCAGCAGGGGUUGGCAGCAGAUUCUAGUUAAUGUUUGGACCCUUCGGGGCCUGGACCAGUAUCUGAUUUGUGUCAAUUAAAUCUUGGACAGCUCUCUUUAAAUCCUAGCAUUUCUUGAUAUCAUGGUCUGGUAUGUCAGAACAGUACGCACACCUUAAAGAAUAAUCGAGAUUCCUGGACGGUGGAUUUGAAAUCCUUCCUUGAAUUGGGCUUAAGACCUUCAACUUUCUCAACCUAUCAAACAAGCUAGCAUCUGGCUCCCCAAGAGGUGUGAAUUGAUUUUUGACCGCCUUCUCUUUCUUAUACUUGGGCCUAGGCUAAAAAUCGGGUCUGGAGGGGUUUUGGUAAUUCGGUGGAGCGGAUGGGCGAUUUUUGGAGCUUGCGUGCGCCAUUAUGGGUAAGAAGGGGUUUGGGCAUAUGGUUGCGUGCUAUAUACUGGGUAUGGGGGUGGUCGAAUGGAAUAUAAAUGGUUUUGUGAAGGGUAGUAAUGGUGGGGAGGAAUAUAUAGAGCUUGGGCAUAGACUUGGGCUUGGGAUUAGGGAUAAGGGAGAGGUGGUCUUUUGGGAUAGGAAUGGGUUCCAGCUAUGACAGUCGCCACGUCUUCUUUCUUUUUUUUACCUCCGAAUGCGCCAGAUCCACUUUGAAUCACUUGUGUGGUGGCUUUCAAUGUGGCAAAACUCACAAUUCGGCCGGUCUUGAUUCCGUUCUCUAUCACCUCCCCCAUUUUGAGGACUUCAAUAAAAGACUAUCCCAUUGCCGAAAGUAAAUGUUGAAAAUAGGUCUCAUCCUAUGCCUGAAUAAAAACCUCUACCAACUUACUUUCUUUCAUUGGAGGCUUUACCCUGGUGGCCUGUUCAUGCCACCUUAUCGCGUAUUCCCUAAAACCUUCAGUGUUUUUCUUCUUCAUGUUGACCAAGGAUUUUUCUUCCAGAAUCAGGUCGUAUUAUACAGAAAAUAUUGGACAAACUCAGAAGCUAAGUCAUCCCAGCUGUUCCACUUGUCGAUAUCUUGAUCGAUAAACCAUUCUAAAGCCAGAUCAGAAAGACUCUCGCAAAAGAAAGCCAUGAGCAGCUCUUCCCUUCCUCCUGUAACCCUCAAUUGGUUGAAACAAUGUCUCAAGUGUACCACGAGAUUACCGUGCCCUGCAUACUUCUUGAACUUGGGCAUUUUAAAACCGAGGGAAAGGUUGAUGUCUCGGAACAUGCAAAGAUCUUUAUAGGAAAUACUUUUAUAACCUCCGAUUCCCUACAAAUUCCUCAUGGACUGUUCUAAACUUUUCAACUUUCGUGCUAUGACUUUCUGCUCCUCUGUUGUGAUAGGUUUCUCCGUAUCAAAUAGAAAUGCAGGUCGCUGAGUGUACCCAUACGGUUCAUUCAUUCUCAAAGUAGGCUCUGGGGCAUAAUACUGACUAUUUGGAACCUUCAAUACUGGCUUACUGGCAGACCGAGGAAGCCCCGUUGUCGGACGCACAACAUAUGUGGGAGCUUCAGGUGGUGGCGGAGCCACGAAUACUGGUGUGAUCGGUGGCGCCGGCUGAGCAGCGGGUCUUGAUUGGGGAGCUGCCAAGGGCACACUAGAAUUGCCAGGAUAAUAAUGUCGCGGAGUGAAUCCUGGAGCGUGCUCAGGUGACUUAGUAGGAAGAGAGAAUUGAGCCUGAGAGAGCAGUAGGCACUUAGACAUAUUCCUAAGACCUUUAGGGAGCGGAGGAAGAGGCAUUCCGCUAGCCCAUGCCCGGUGCAAAUCUAUCAAUUAUUGCCUGAGCCUUAUUACCUCAUCAUUGUGUUCUGGGCUUUCUUCCCUAUGAUCCUGAUCCGGGUCAAUGAUCAAAUUUUCAAUUUCCCUACUAACCAUGGCGAGCUUUGCUUUUGAUCUAGUGAGAUAUGGGUGACUAGCCAAAGUACUAAAAACCUACCACUGUUAUUUAAAAGAACAUGCUCAUCAAAGACGACAUCCGUUAGGAUUAGGGCGCACAACAAGCAUGGGAAUCACAUUGGUAAAAUUAUCCUAAAUUCAUGUCCAUUUCUAUCAGCUUUUGAGGGUAGCGAGGUCAUUUUAACAUCAUCCCGAUUUUUAUCUACACUUAUUUGCCUCUUUGCUCUAAACACACCUUUUUUUUUCACCCUCCUUUCCCUCUUUUUUCUGUCGUAUCAGUCUCUGUUUUUUUCCUUUAUUGUCUCAUCAUCCUUUCUUUCUUUUCUUCUCUCGUUAUCUACCUUCAUUUUAUCAUUCUUUAUGGCUUUUGUUUUUUCUUUAAAAGAGGAAAAAUAAUGAAAAACAGCGAAACAAAGUGAUUAGAUCGAACCCAAAAGUAGGUUGCCUAUGUAUCAUGUUGUACAUGAAUCAGAUCUUGCGUAGUUCGGGCUGUAUAUGCAUAAACAUCACACAAUUGAAGGUUUUUUUUUUAUUUUUUUCACGAAAAACGAAAACAAGUAAACAAAGAAAGAUGUAACCUCAUAACAUUUCGAUGAAAGAAACAACAAAACAUACAAUGAAUUUAGGACCACUUUUAAACUAAACAAAAAAUACAAAACAACAUUCUAACCCCUAACGACAUGCGUGUAAUUACUAAUAAAGACCUGAAUAUCAAAAACAACUUGACUCCGACUUAACACAGACACCACCCUACAAUGACAGAAACAUAAAAAACUCAAAACUACAUAAAGAUAAGACAUGUUCUUUCAAACUGGUGCUCUGUGUGACAUCCCCGACUGAGAUGAACCCAUCAGUGAAGUCCCCUCCUUUCCACUCAGACUUUGCAACAUAUCCUGCAACGAUGUUUUGAUACCCGAGAACAAAUUUCUUGCCCGUAUCCCCGCCUCUUGGAGAUUACACCCGCAAAGGUUUUUCUGACACCCAUCCACAGUUAUGAUCAAACAUGACAACUGAACUCUCAAAAACUCUACCUUAGCACCAGGAUCUUCCUACUCAUCAUCCUCUACCACGAUUGCUUUCCGUAUUCGCCCUCUAAGUUGGGCUGGUAAGGGUCUACUAAUGCCACGGACAGAGAUUGUAGCUAGAUUUCAUAGUUUUGAGUGCAUCCUGGAUUUUCCUCGAGAGUAUCGACACCUAGCUUUAUCGCAUUAUUCCAGAAUUGCUCAUAUUUGCUUUCCCCCACGGCUUGGUCUUUAAAGUACUCUACAUCCUUUAGAAGGUCCAUUAUUGGGGGGACGUCUUGCAUCCUACCCAACUGACGCAUCACCCUUCUUAGACUGUAAGGCCUAGUGCAGUUAAGUCCUAUCAAAACUAGAAAGAGCUGCAUUUGAGAUCCAAUCAAGAUUUUCUUAGGACAAAACUACAUAUAGCACCAAAGAAUGUUGUUCGGAGUUCUUGAUUCGAGAAAUUCGAUCCAAGAAUUGACUCCUAUAGGAAAAGAAAAUUUGUCUAAAUGCAUUCUCUCUUGUAUGGCUUGCACUCGAUCAUUCAGACAACGGUCGAUCACAUCUGCUCUAAUCAAAGAAGGCGUAUGUAAGUGCUCCAUCAUCCACAACUGCAAUAUCAGACUACUCCCAUAAAAAAAUCGUACCCCUCCUUUUACUUCAGUUAAAGCCUUAUAUAUUUCUGUUAAGAUCAUUAAUACAAUGGUGACCUCAUCUUUUUUCUUGAUUAAAGCUAUCACCACUGAUUGUAGACGAGUAUUGAUACGCCUCUCAUCUAACGGGAACACUAAGAUACCCAACAAAGCCAAACAGAAAACCUCAAGACGACGUUGUUCCCAGAUUUUUUUGUAGUACAGAAUUCAUCCCAAAAGAAGUCGAAACCCUCUAAGGACCCAAAUCUAGCAAACAAAUAGUCCAAGGAAAUCGAAGAUUGUUUGAGACAUCCCAGAUGCUUGUUAUCUUUUAAUCCACAGAGUCAAAGGAAUUUCUUACGAGUAUGAUUGCGGGCUAAAAUCAUCUGCUGACCCAUGUAAGUCAACUGAAUCAAAUGAGACACUUCUGCCAGGGUAGGAGUCAAUUCACAACUUCCAAACCUAAACACCAAAUUAUUUGGAUCCCAGAAAGUCAACACAACUUCUAUUAGAUCCAGAUGAGGCGUGAGAUCCAUAAGUGCUACAAGAUUGCCUAACACUUUCCUCACUUCGUGCUUUUCAGAGUAAUUGAACGUGCCCCACCACUUGAUCAACUUUUUGGGUACCUUGAGAACCAUAAGGACUCUAGACUUUGUGGACAGAUCCAUCCUGUAGUAGUAGAUAAGAAAUUAUCUCAAAAAUUUGAUAAGAGAAAAAGGUUCCCAACCAAUGGGAAUUUGAUGCGGACAUACGUCGCUGAGACAAACCGCUUUAUGGCUCCAAAUCGCCGAACAAUAACACUGAAUAAAAUCAGCCUACUUGGCUAACAACUCUGGGUUACAGGGUAAAAGACCUAGCCUAAGGCCAAAAUAAAUAUUACCGGACCUACCGAGGGUUGCCUAUAUAUCCCGCCCCGAGGAACGGGAAUCAGGUAUGCGUAGUUCGUCCAAAUUGGACAAAUAAAGAUUAACUAACAGACUGACCCUAACUUAAGAGACACUACCAAAGACCGAUGAAUAAUAAAAAAAAUAAAAAAUUUUGGGUUUUUAGUUUGACACCAACUACUAUGAAAGAAAAUUUUUUUUUUGAAAAUUUUCGAAUUAUGAAUGCGUGGUAAAGGAAUAAAAGGAUUUUUUUUUGAUAUUUUUGUUAUAUGAAAUGUACAAAAAUUCUACCAUCAUUUUUUUUUUUUUUUGCAUUUUCCUUUAUAAAACCUCUUAUUGUAAAAAAAAAAAAAAACUUUUUUUGUUUUUGAAAUUUUUGAAUUGUGAAAAACAAAAGCCAUAAAGAACUCUAAAAACUACAAAACAUUUUUUUUUCACACACUUUACUUCUAACACAUGCUUUACCCCACAUCAGUCUGUCAAAUGACCACGUUAUCCUCAAAGAUGCAACAUUUAGCACGUAGGAAUGCUUUAGAGGUAAGUCUCCUACAAAGGACCAAGUGGACCCGCUAGGUCUCAAUAUGAUGCACAUAAGCAUGACCUAAAGGCUGACCUAUGCUGGGAUUCGCACAUGAUGUCAGAGAUAAAAGCGGUAAAACAUAGGAUAAAUACUGUAAACAAAGAGCACGAAAACGCACAAAAGUGAAAACACAAACAAAAAUCACAAACAAUGCUUGUACACUCGUAAUGCCAAACAAAGCCAAUGCGACUCCAAAAAAAAAGCUCGGAUUCUAAAAUUUUCUCCAGCAGAGUCGCCAGAGCUGUCACACCCUUUUUUUAACUGCAAAAAGAUAUGGUUUAAGGUUCGAAAGGAUUUUAUUAUUUAAGUGACAAAAAAUAAAAAUUUGUUUCGAAAAAGGAUUAUGUACAAUUAAAUUCAGAGUCGCCACUUGGCAUAAUCUAGUGUGCCAAGUCACCUUUGAAAAAUUCUUUUCGAAACGGUUUGACUCUUUAAAACUUAUUUGCGAACAGAGAUUCUGGUUAAGGAAUUCUGUUGACUGAGGGGAAGGUGUUAGGCACCCCUCGAUCCCGUGGUUCGACCACGGUCGCUUGGUGAAGUAUAUCGGAUAAUUUGACACUACGAAAUGUAUAAAUCACACAAAAGCACGCAAAAAAAAUUAAACAACAAACAAAAUAAUCCAAAGUGUAAUGUCUAGUCCAAUUAUACAACCCGAUAUAUAAAAAAAAUACAAAAAAAUAUAAACCUACGCUAACCUAAACUAAUUCUAACUACGCUCCCGUGUUUUACCCGACACCUCGGGCCUUCACCACGAACAUCUUCUAAAUACAAGAUACCUCAGGUCAUUCCCCUGAUAAAUCAAUACAAAGUACUUCGGGGCAUUCCCCGGCCAAAUGAUACAAAUGAUCCAAAUGCGAUAAACUAGAAAAAAAAUUCAACCAAUAUUCCAUAUUCAAACAUUCAACCAAACAACAAAUUCUAAAAUUUUCCUACCCAAACCUAUAUUGCCUAUCCAUUUUUAACACAAUGAUCAGAAUUAAUAUUUAUCCAGAAUUAAACAAUAAUCAGUAUGCCACAAUCAAAACAGUGUUCAUCCUUUCAAUUUCCCAUUCCCACCCAGAUUUCAUUUAUGCCAACAUAAACUCAAGUCAUCUUUGAUCAACACCAUUAAUCAAUUUCAGUAUAAGUCUAUGAAUCAAACCACACGAAUUACAAGGAUUCACAUACAUUCAAAACAUCAUGAAGUCACAUCUUCAACUACGAAAACAUAAGAAAAGGAUAGAGUUGAGAAAGGGACCUCCAAAGAUUCAGAUUCUGAUCGAUAAUAACGAAUGAGAGAAGCCAAAGCCCGAAUUCUUGAAUGAAAAAUAAACCUCAACAACGGCUGAACCAACUCAGAGCUAAACAACCCAAAUUUGCAGUCCCAUUCAAAUACCAAAUCCACAAAAACACUUGAGAGUAUUCAACAUUAACACUGAACAAACCGAAACUAAACCGAACUUACUAACCCAAACAGACCAAAGGUGACCUCGAACAAACUGAAACCGAACUCAAAACAGCCAGAAUCAACCCGAAACAGCUUGAUUCCGGGCUGGUUUUAACGAUUUGAUCUUGGUUUUCAGUGAUGGAGAUGGUUUGGAUGAGUUUUCAAUGGGUUUCGGAGUUGAAUCGAAACUAGUGUAGUGAUUUUCGAUGAAGAGUGGCUGGAAAACUCGAUCUCUAACCAAGUUCUUCUCUCUCAUCUCUCUCUGUUCUCUCCCUCUCUCUCGAUCUACCCCAUUUCUAGCAUGUGUUUAUGCACUUCCCCAAAUCCCUGUGCAGUCCCUGUAUCCAAUAAAUGGAGAUUAUAGUGCAUUUUUUUUUCGACCCAGUUCCUGUGUGUGCGCGUGUUCGAAGAUAAAAAAGAAAGGAUGAAUAUGGUAAAUCAAGAAACCCCCCUUUUUCUUUGAUCUGUAUUUGUCGUGUAUAUAUGCCCCUUUGCCAAAAUGGAAAAAUGGUCCUUUUUG
rnacentral:lncRNA from 1 species